UAAGUAUCCAAUUUUCCAACAUUAUAUUAGAUUUUAUGGCGUUUGUAAACUGUGACUGUGUAAUCAAUAUUUUUUUCCCUGGUAAUUAUUAUGGAUGGUAUCCAUAGUUAAAGGUUAGAGAAAGUUAUUCAUGUCCUCAAGAGAUGUUUUAUAUGCUUUAUUAUCUGCACGAACAGAGUGUUACUUUAAUAGAAAUUAUAGAUCUAUUCUCACACUGCAAUCCAUUAUGCAACAGACAUGUUAGGAGUCUGAACAGAGUCCACUUGUUUUUUAUUGUUUUAAAUGAUAAUAAUAGCAAACUACCAUUUGGAAUAAGGUGCGUUCUGUUUUAGCAGGGUUUCUUGAAGGAUCAGAAGAUCCUUGGUUCUUAUCCAAUCUGUUGCCUACCCAGCAUGGAUAACAGGUUUGGGUUGCCUACAAUGAAUCUGCAUGGCUUUUAUGCAAUACUGUGGACAACUCCAUCAACAUCUGUCGGCGCUACCGCUUGGUCCUACGUCGCUUGGCAGCUGUUCCAGAUUCCUCUGUCUAGCUACCUUGUUUA